AAAAUUGAAAAUUGGUUCACCCAGGGCGAGGCUCAGCCAUUGCACUGCGGUUGUGCUGACCCCUGCGAAUUCCCCAAAUGUGGGAAUCUCGACUGCAUAAUUUCUGGUAGUGGGGGACUGCGUUCGCGCUCUCCCCUG
rnacentral:snRNA from 1 species